rnacentral:rRNA from 1 species
ACUCAAAGGAAUUGACGGGGGCCCGCACAAGCGGUGGAGCAUGUGGUUUAAUUCGACGAUACGCGAAAAACCUUACCAAGGUUUGACAUGGAGACGACCGGUUCAGAGAUGAACCCUCCCUUCGGGGCGUCUCACACAGGUGGUGCAUGGUUGUCGUCAGCUCGUGUCGUGAGAUGUUGGGUUAAGUCCCGCAACGAGCGCAACCCUUAUGUUCAGUAGCCAUCACGUAAAGGUGGGCACACUGGAGAGACUGCCGUGGAUAACACGGAGGAAGGUGGGGACGACGUCAAAUCAUCAUGCCCCUUAUAUCUUGGGCUACACACGUGCUACAAUGGUCUGUACAGCGUGAAGCGAGACAGCGAUGUUAAGCAAAACACUUAAAACAGACCCCAGUUCGGAUUGCAGGCUGCAACCCGCCUGCAUGAAGUCGGAAUCGCUAGUAAUCGCGAAUCAGCAUGUCGCGGUGAAUACGUUCCCGGGCCUUGUACACACCGCCCGU